rnacentral:hammerhead_ribozyme from 1 species
UUCCAGAUGACAAGUCCCUAAUAGGACGAAACGCGCGUCUUAGAU